rnacentral:lncRNA from 1 species
GCUUGUGUUCUUUUGUUCUUGUAAUCAAAUUUCUCCUGAUACUAUCUAUAUAAUAUUGGGAAAUAUAUAGGUAGUACCAUGAAAUAUUUGUAAUAAAAAAGCAAAGUGUUUAAAUCUUUUUGUUGUAAUUGUCGCUGAGCCAGUGAUGAACUGCUGUGACAGGAAUAGACUUCUUGGUGUUUCCAAAAGUUUAAUUAGGGCUGAAGAGCUAGUCACAUUCCUCUACCAAUGUAAGCUAAACAAAGUGUUCCCGAUGUCAAUAAAUCAUCUGGACCUACCUAUCAGGUCUAAAGUAAUUGAGAAGCAGCUUAAGAAUCGAUGCCUCAGAUAUGCGUACACUGAUGCCAGAAGGAAUAUGUACUCCCUUAAAAAAAGACUACAG